rnacentral:rRNA from 1 species
CCUACGGGGCGCAGCAGUGGGGAAUAUUGGGCAAUGGGCGCAAGCCUGACCCAGCAAUGCCGCGUGAAGGAAGAAGGCUUUCGGGUUGUAAACUUCUUUGACAGGGGAAGAGCAGAAGACGGUACCCUGAAAACAAGCCACGGCUAACUACGUGCCAGCAGCCGCGGUAAUACGUAGGUGGCAAGCGUUGUCCGGAUUUACUGGGUGUAAAGGGCGUUUAGCCGGGAAGGCAAGUCAGAUGUGAAAUCUGGAGGCUCAACCUCCAAAUUGCAUUUGAAACUGUUUUUCUUGAGUACUGGAGAGGCAGACGGAAUUCCUUGUGUAGCGGUGAAAUGCGUAGAUAUAAGGAGGAACACCAGUGGCGAAGGCGGUCUGCUGGACAGCAACUGACGGUGAGGCGCGAAAGCGUGGGGAGCAAACAGGAUUAGAUACCCCAGUAGUC